UUAAAGGAAUUGACGGGGACCCGCACAAGCAGCGGAGCGUGUGGUUUAAUUCGUUGCUACACGAAGAACCUUACCUGGGUUUGACAUAUAGGUUGUAGGGAACUGAAAAGGGACCGACCUUCGGGAGCCUAUACAGGUGUUGCAUGGCUGUCGUCAGCUCGUGUCGUGAGAUGUUCGGUUAAGUCCGCUAACGAGCGCAACCCUCGUCGUAUGUUAUAUGUGUCAUACGAGACUGCCGGUAAAAGCCGGAGGAAGGUGAGGAUGACGUCAAGUCAGCAUGACCUUUAUAUCCAGGGCUACACACACGCUACAAUGGUCUGUACAAUGGGUAGCCAAGCCGCGAGGCGGAGCCAAUCCUGAAAGCAGGCCUCAGUUCAGAUUGCAGUCUGCAACUCGACUGCAUGAAGCCGGAGUUGCUAGUAACCGCAGGUCAGCAAUACUGCGGUGAAUACGUUCCCGGGUCUU
rnacentral:rRNA from 1 species